rnacentral:rRNA from 1 species
ACGGAGGGAGCUAGCGUUGUUCGGAAUUACUGGGCGUAAAGCGCGCGUAGGCGGCUUAUCAAGUUAGGGGUGAAAUCCCGGGGCUCAACCCCGGAACUGCCCUUGAAACUGGUAAGCUAGAAUCUUGGAGAGGUCAGUGGAAUUCCGAGUGUAGAGGUGAAAUUCGUAGAUAUUCGGAAGAACACCAGUGGCGAAGGCGACUGACUGGACAAGUAUUGACGCUGAGGUGCGAAAGCGUGGGGAGCAAACAG